CANCCUCCUGGGAUAACACUGACGUUCAUGCCCGAAAGCGUGGGUAGCAAACAGGAUUAGAUACCCUGGUAGUCCACGCCCUAAACGAUGUCGAUUAGCUGUUGGGCAGCAUGACUGCUUAGUAGCGAAGCUAACGCGUGAAAUCGACCGCCUGGGGAGUACGGUCGCAAGAUUAAAACUCAAAGGAAUUGACAGGGACCCGCACAAGCGGUGGAUGAUGUGGAUUAAUUCGAUGCAACGCGAAGAACCUUACCUGGUCUUGACAUGUACGGAACCCUUCAGAGACGGAGGGGUGCCUUCGGGAGCCGUAACACAGGUGCUGCAUGGCUGUCGUCAGCUCGUGUCGUGAGAUGUUGGGUUAAGUCCCGCAACGAGCGCAACCCUUGUCAUUAGUUGCCAUCAUUAAGUUGGGCACUCUAAUGAGACUGCCGGUGACAAGCCGGAGGAAGGUGGGGAUGACGCCAAGUCCUCAUGGCCCUUAUGACCAGGGCUUCACACGUCAUACAAUGGUCGGUACAGAGGGUAGCCAAGCCGCGAGGCGGAGCCAAUCUCACAAAACCGAUCGUAGUCCGGAUUGCACUCUGCAACUCGAGUGCAUGAAGUCGGAAUCGCUAGUAAUCGCAGGUCAGCAUACUGCGGUGAAUACGUUCCCGGGUCUUGUACACACCGCCCGUCACACCAUGGGAGUGGGGGAUACCAGAAGUAGGUAGGGUAACCGCAAGGAGCCCGC
rnacentral:rRNA from 1 species